rnacentral:rRNA from 1 species
UUAACACAUGCAAGUCGAGGGGUAUUAGUUUUCGGACUAAGAGACCGGCGCACGGGUGCGUAACGCGUAUGCAAUCUACCUUUUACAGAGGGAUAGCCCAGAGAAAUUUGGAUUAAUACCUCAUAGUAUAGCAGUUUCGCAUGAAACCACUAUUAAAGUCACAACGGUAAAAGAUGAGCAUGCGUCCCAUUAGCUAGUUGGUAAGGUAACGGCUUACCAAGGCUACGAUGGGUAGGGGUCCUGAGAGGGAGAUCCCCCACACUGGUACUGAGACACGGACCAGACUCCUACGGGAGGCAGCAGUGAGGAAUAUUGGACAAUGGGCGCAAGCCUGAUCCAGCCAUGCCGCGUGCAGGAUGACGGUCCUAUGGAUUGUAAACUGCUUUUGUACGAGAAGAAACACUCCUAUGUAUAGGAGCUUGACGGUAUCGUAAGAAUAAGGAUCGGCUAACUCCGUGCCAGCAGCCGCGGUAAUACGGAGGAUCCAAGCGUUAUCCGGAAUCAUUGGGUUUAAAGGGUCCGUAGGCGGUUUAGUAAGUCAGUGGUGAAGCCCAUCGCUCAACGGUGGAACGGCCAUUGAUACUGCUGAACUUGAAUUAUUAGGAAGUAACUAGAAUAUGUAGUGUAGCGGUGAAAUGCUCAGCGAUUACAUGGAUACCAAUUGCGAAGGCAGGUUACUACUAAUUGAUUGACGCU